AUCAUUCUGCAUACUACCAAAAAGAAAAUAAUCUUGUAAAAAAGUAUUUAUAGUAAGCUUUGUAACAAUCUUGUAAAGAAAAUAUGUCACAUGUCCUUCUGCCUGUCAAACUUUAAGCUCCGGUUUGAAACCGGCGAAGAAGAAUUGGGGGGUGAGAACAGAAAUCGAACUUUUCAGAUCGUCUCCCUGUUCUUCAGUAUACGAUGUCUCUCUGUUUCAUUGGACAAUAUAAAUUAAAUAUUAGAACCAUCCACAGAUUAAUUGUAAAUUAGUCCAUAAUUUAAAUCAAAAUACCCAAGAACUCAACAAAAAAAAAAAAAAAAAAA
rnacentral:lncRNA from 1 species